UAUUUCCAUCCCUGGGGGGUGCCCAGCAGGCCUAUAAGAGGAGUCCUCUCAAGGUGAGAACAGUGAAGCUCUGAGAGGUUAAGUGACUUGGCUGAGCUCAUGAAGCAGGUCCCAGCACAAAGUAGGGCUAGGAUGAAAAUGCCUGGAGGAAACGGAAAAGCAGUUAUGGAGCCAGCUGGCUGCAGGUCCCAGGGGAGGCGGCCU
rnacentral:lncRNA from 1 species